CCGAAAAUAGCUCAGCGGUAGAGCGGGAGACUGUAGUGGCUUGGAACCCCUGGUUCUCGUUGUAAUCUCUAGGUCCCUGGUUCAAAUCCGGGUUUUCGGA
rnacentral:tRNA from 1 species